rnacentral:rRNA from 1 species
UACCUACGGGGGGCUGCAGUCGAGAAUCUUCCGCAAUGCGCGAAAGCGUGACGGAGCAAUGCCGCGUGAGGGAUGAAGGUCUUCGGAUUGUAAACCUCUGUCACCGGGGAGGAAUAAAUGACUGUACCCGGAGAGGAAGCCACGGCUAACUACGUGCCAGCAGCCGCGGUAAUACGUAGGUGGCGAGCGUUGUUCGGAUUUAUUGGGCGUAAAGGGUCCGCAGGGGGCCUGUUAAGUCUGAUGUGAAAUCCCGAAGCUCAACUUCGGAAUUGCAUUGGAAACUGGCGGGCUAGAGCAUCGGAGAGGAGAUUGGAAUUCCAGGUGUAGCGGUGGAAUGCGUAGAUAUCUGGAAGAACACCGAAGGCGAAGGCAGAUCUCUGGACGAUUGCUGACCCUCAGGGACGAAAGCGUGGGUAUCAAACAGGAUUAGAUACCCCGGUAGUCAAC